rnacentral:rRNA from 1 species
CUUGACAUCCAGAGAAUUUAGCAGAGAUGCUUUAGUGCCUUCGGGAACUCUGAGACAGGUGCUGCAUGGCUGUCGUCAGCUCGUGUUGUGAAAUGUUGGGUUAACGUCCGCAACGAGCGCAACCCUUAUCCUUUGUUGCCAGCACGUAAUGGUGGGAACUCAAAGGAGACUGCCGGUGAUAAACCGGAGGAAGGUGGGGAUGACGUCAAGUCAUCAUGGCCCUUACGAGUAGGGCUACACACGUGCUACAAUGGCGCAUACAAAGAGAAGCGACCUCGCGAGAGCAAGCGGACCUCAUAAAGUGCGUCGUAGUCCGGAUUGGAGUCUGCAACUCGACUCCACGAAGUCGGAAUCGCUAGUAAUCGUAAAUCAGAAUGUUACGGUGAAUACGUUCCCGGGCCUUGUACACACCGCCCGUCACACCAUGGGAGUGGGUUGCAAAAGAAGUAGAUAGCUUAACCUUCGGGAGGGCGUUUACCACUUUGUGAUUCAUGACUGGGGUGAAGUCGUAACAAGGUAGGCGUAGUGCU